UCCAGUGUAGUGUAGUGGUUAGUGUGUUGGGCCAGAACCUGACUGACCACUGCUUGACAUUGGGCCUGUCACAGUCUCUCAGCCUAAACCUACUUGGCACGGUUGUUGUGAGGAGAAAACAAAGAAGGGGCCUGCCACCUUGAGCUCCUUGGAGGCCAGGGUUCAAAUCCUUGCUCCACCAUGAAG